rnacentral:rRNA from 1 species
UACGUAGGGUGCGAGCGUUAAUCGGAAUUACUGGGCGUAAAGCGUGCGCAGGCGGUUAUGUAAGUCAGGUGUGAAAUCCCCGGGCUUAACCUGGGAACUGCAUUUGUGACUGCAUCGCUGGAGUGCGGCAGAGGGGGAUGGAAUUCCGCGUGUAGCAGUGAAAUGCGUAGAUAUGCGGAGGAACACCGAUGGCGAAGGCAAUCCCCUGGGCCUGCACUGACGCUCAUGCACGAAAGCGUGGGGAGCAAACAGG